UUCCCGAUGAGUUUGGUAUCUUAGACGGUUGAUGACAAUUGUCCAUGCAACAACACGUAUGUGUUGUGUGCCCACAACUACACACAGUACACUUCUAAAAUAGUUUAGAUUUUCCCCUUAGCUUGUCAUUGUUCUGAUGCUUAUCCCGUAAAUCUUCUUGUUGAUAAAUGUUCUUCAGCGAUGCAAAAGACACUUGAUGGUCCAUAGAUGGACUUUGGAGGGGUGUUGUGGGACUGGCCAAAACAUCAUUCCCAGUUCUAUUGGUAUAGCAAAGGUAUGCAGUAGUCUCCAUUUGAAAAUUUUAUUAAUCUGCAAAUAUUUAUGUAAUAUCUGAUGAUAGUUGUUGACUGAACUCUUAUGUUGCUGGAAAAGUACUUCCAGAACUUAACGACAAGCUUACUAGAAUGGUUUUCCAUGUCCCGACCCCUAAUGUCUCUGUUGUAGAUCUAACUUGUCGACUUGAGAAGAGUGCUUCUUUUUUACAAAGGAGGUACAGUUCGAAGAUUGGCUCUUCACUUUACAGGUUAGAGUAAAACUCAUUUUUUUUGGUGCAGCAAUAUCAUUUGCAGAUAAUAUUUUACGAUUGUUGACGGACUCCCAACUAUUAAAUAUUGGAUUCGUAUAGCAGUUUCAAUUUUAAACUAUUCUUUUUGAAAUUUUUCUUAAGUUUCUAUUAGUACUUGAAUCCACUAAAAUCCCAUUUAUGGUAGUUCAAAAG
rnacentral:lncRNA from 1 species